UACGGAGGAUGCAAGCGUUAUCCGGAAUGAUUGGGCGUAAAGCGUCCGCAGGUGGCUAUGUAAGUCUGCUGUUAAAGAGUGAGGCUCAACCUCAUAAGAGCAGUGGAAACUACAUGGCUAAAGUGCGUUCGGGGCAGAGGGAAUUCCUGGUGUAGCGGUGAAAUGCGUAGAUAUCAGGAAGAACACCGGUGGCGAAAACGCUCUGCUAGGCCGCAACUGACACUGAGGGACGAAAGCUAGGGGAGCGAAUGGG
rnacentral:rRNA from 1 species